CAGUUCGGAUUGGAGUCUGCAACCCGACUCCAUGAAGCUGGAUUCGCUAGUAAUCGCGCAUCAGCCACGGCGCGGUGAAUACGUUCCCGGGCCUUGUACACACCGCCCGUCAAGCCAUGGGAGUCGGUAACACCCGAAGUCGGUAGCCUAACCGUAAGGAGGGCGCCGCCGAAGGUGGGAUUGAUGACUGGGGGUGAAGUCGUAACAAGGUAGC
rnacentral:rRNA from 1 species